CACAAAAAGAGAAAACACAACACAAAACGAGAAAACACAAUAGUUAAUGUUGUGUUUUCAGAUUUGCCAUAGCGUUUUCUCUCUUUGUGUUGUGUUUUCUUGUUUUGUGUUGUGUUUUCCCCUUCUGUA